ACAGCAGUAGCCACGGGAAUACGAAGGGUGCAAGCGUUACUCGGAAUUACUGGGCGUAAAGCGUGCGUAGGCGGCUUCUUAAGUCGGAUGUGAAAUCCCUGAGCUUAACUUAGGAAUUGCAUUCGAUACUGGGAAGCUAGAGUAUGGGAGAGGAUGGUAGAAUUCCAGGUGUAGCGGUGAAAUGCGUAGAGAUCUGGAGGAAUACCGAUGGCGAAGGCAGCCAUCUGGCCUAAUACUGACGCUGAGGUACGAAAGCAUGGGGAGCAAACAGGAUUAGAUACCCGGGUAGUCCCUGUCUCUUAUAA
rnacentral:rRNA from 1 species